UAAUGUCAACUAGCCACAAAGUAGAAUUUCUUGAGUAGGGAGUUUCAGCUGAAGAAUUGUCCUGAUUGUCUUCAUUGAUUUGGGGAGAUUCACCCAAGGAAGAUUCUUUACUGUUGGCUCACUUGGCCUCCCUCUUUCCUCUUGUGCUGAGGAUGCAUAUUCCCGUUUCCAUCAAGACUGAGGACCAGUAGCUCUCCAGGACUCUUGAAGUUUGGUGCUGCAUAUUGAGACUCCCGAGGCAUCUAGUCCUGUGGUCUAAGCGACGAGCAAGCUGUAGGCCUCUCCAAUAUGAGACAUUGUGGCUCUAAUAGCAUCUAUUGUGGGACUGCUCCGUCUGCCAAGUCAUCGAAUCCCACAGGCUGAGGUUCUCAGCCUCUCAGGAAGUUGCCAAUUGCUGGAGAUCGACCUCACUCUCACUGCUAAUUAUGCUCUUCUGGGGAGUGGAGGAAGGGCAGAUGGUCUCUGGAGUUCAAGGUGUCAAAAAAGAACAGGAGUACCGGGAUUGCAGAUGAUGGUUCUUCCUGCUCAAAUCUUGCUUUUCGAUGUGGGUUCUGGGGAUUAAAACUCAGGUCUUCACAUUUGAACAACAAACACUUUUACCAACUGAGUCAUCUCCCCAGUCUGAAUUUCUCAUAUAUACUUAAUGUGCUGCUUAUAUUUCUGUGGGUUGUCAGAUCAUGAGUUAUUCUGUUAUUGUUCUGGGUUAUUGGCCAUAUGACUGAAAACAAGGACCUCUGUAUGUAAUAAAGGCAUCAGCCCUUUGGACUAUGAAAACAUUUUCCCAAUUUUCAUUCAUUCUUAUGUUUUAUUCAUAUUUAAUUUACCGUGCCAAAGUAGUUAAAUUGGUCA